ensembl:lncRNA
GUGAUUCACUGUCUAAACUGGUUUGCUGCUGCUAGAAUGAAAACAACCUAUGCAGAAAAAUCAAAUGAUCAUCUCUGAGGAAAGAGAAUAUGAAUGUGACCGGAAUGGGUGGACCAAGGGUGGAGCCACAGUGGGCUCAUGUAAGAGCUGACCAGUGAAGGGAGACCUGGACUGUUUCCUGAGAAGGAGUGCUGCAUAGUGAGAUAUCUACUUCACCAGUUAGAAUUCUUUCAUAAAUGCAUGUACCUGAGGAAGUGUCUAAAGAAUGCUCAGAAGACCGAAUUCUCUUGUUUGUUGCUAUUUGUAAAGGACCUGGAAGUCAACCUUCCUUCAAGCCAGUUGGUCCCAGUGUGCUUGCAGUCCUGCAUUCUGCUCUUUCACAGGACUGUAAGACAGCUAGAAGAAAAGAAAAUGGAAACAAGUGAAAACUGGAACAGCUAAAGGAAAAAACAGAAUCAUACAACAACCCAGGUUGGAAGAAAUUCUGAAAUAUUGUAAGAGUGUCAGUGUUAUUCAAGAAUGAAAUGUUGAAGACCUAACUUAGUUGCUGGGAAGAAUAUGAUAUUUAUGAAUUAAAACAGACCCAUGCUGUUCUUGAGCAUAGGAGAUGUCUCACUGUUUGUCCCUGAAUUGUCCUCAUUAUGUCUGGAUGUACUGAAUUAACCCCAGAACAUGUAAAGCAACCUGGUCAGAGUUUGGUGUAGUACCCACGAGGAGGCGAUGGCAUUCAUGCUACAGUUGAAAAAACACAUUCAAGAGAUGAAAAGCAGUAAUAGCCAGGCCUUGCAUGUUACAGAAUCACAGAACUGCAGGGUUGGAAGGGACCUCAAGUGGUCAUCAAGGACAACCUCCCUGCUAAGUUGCAGAGUUUCCCAAAUAAUGUAGGAACAAGGGACAUGAUUCUGUAGCCACUGCUUGCCACCACGAUUUAGAAUGUGGACACGUCAUCCAUAAAUCACUGAGGAGUGUCCUUCAGGUAUUUUACAGUGCUGCCAAGUAGCUCUGCUCAUUGUGAGGCUCAAGCCUGAAACUUCAAGUAUGUAUAUAAUGACAUGCAGAGAUCACAGUUAUCUCUAGCAUCUGUGGACUUCAGAUCCUGUGUCAAUUUGGGAAGCAAAGUUAUCUGGAAUAUAUCAUUCUACCAUGAAAAUACAAUGCACUAAGGUAAUCUCCAAUAUGAUUAGUGAAAUGUCGUAGUGCAUGUCAUAGUUUAAUUAUACUUGCAGACAUUUAAGAAUUACCUUAAAAGUACAUCAAUGAUUUUAUAGUUUUCUACUGUUUUUCUCCUUUCCCUCUUUCUUACAUAUAUCAUAGCAUGAUUUAUAAGAAUUAGUAGCGAUAUGUAGUAACAUGCCAUUCAGAAAGGAAAAGGAAGGUUCAUCUUGUUAAUAUUCCAUAUUUCAUUUGGCUGGCUCAGUGAACCUUUACCUGUGUAUUCAUGAGACUGUGCCUCUAGAUGAAUGCGGAGGUGGAAUUACCAACAAAUACAGUGCUGAAUAUUAAAAAAUGAACUGUAAAAGGUUUCAAAUUUUUCAUUUCUGUGACAGGAAUUAUAACUAGAACAGACAAGAAUUAUAACUGGAAUGAAAAAUGCCAACAGGUAAAUUAAUUGUAAUGAAACUGACUGUAGCAGUGGAAAAGAAAAAUUGGAAUCUUGAUCAGUAUUUAAAACUUCAAGGUCAUUACAUUUUGGUUGCUUUCAGAUGUUCAGCAUAGAGAAUAUAAUGAUUAUACCAAAAUGGCAUGUACAUUAGUUAAUUUUAUACAAUUUUUCUACUAAGGCUGCAAUUCUUGUGUUUAGAGUUGUUCUUUUAAGAUAAUUUUUCUAUUUCUUUCCUAUUCAAUACUGUUGUGCAAAUAGUUUACACCGAACAAUAAGAACUGAUUUUCAUUCUUACUUGCUCUGUAUUCAUUUGAAUGACAAAAAUCAUAACUAAAGGAAAAACUCGUUCAUAUGUAAUCUAUUCUAAUAUCACAAAUCAUUAAAAAAAGGAUAAAAUAAGCCAACAAUUUGCUUUUGACAUGCCUAAAUUACUCAUAAGAGUCACUACCUUAAUUUCUCAGUCAAAUUAUUAUUUCAUGCAGUGGUUUAAAAAUAAUUCUUGUGAAAAACUAUUGCAUCAAGCUUACAGAAUGGUAUCUAAAUAUUCAUUUCAGAGAAAUUUUAAAGCUGCAAAUUUUUAGGAUUUCAAAGACAUAAAAUGUCAUGAUCUGGCUGCACAGUGUUUGUAAGUACAUUUGUAAACACUAAUUUUACAAGUUGAAGUUUUCUGCAACAUUUUUGUAUCAAAAUACUUGGAGUAAAAUUUUGUUAAAUAUACAGGACUUAACACACAGCAAUGUAUUACUUGUAGGAGUUAUUUUGGUAUAUAGGCCAAGGUCCUGCACUUUGACCACAAUAACCCCAUGCAGCGCUAUAGGCUUGGGGCUGAGUGGCUGGAUGACUGUGAAGAGGAAAGGGACCUGGGGGUGUCGGUUGAUUCUCGGCUGAGUAUGAGAUGAUAGUGUGCCCAGGUGGCCAAGAGGGCCAAUGUCAUGCUAGCCUGCAUUAGAAAUAGUGUGGCCAGCAGGAGCAGGGAGGUAAUCAUCCCCCUGUACUCAGCACUGGUGAGGCCGCACCUUGAGUACUGUGUUCAGUUUUGGGCCCCUCACUACAAGAAAGACAUUGAGGCCCUGGAAUGUGUCCAGAGAAGAGCAACAAAACUGUGAGGGGUGAGGGGAGCACAAGUCUUAUGAGAAGCAGCUGAGGGAACUGGGAUUGUUCAGUCUGGAGAAGAGGAGGCUCAGGGGAGACCUCCUCUACAACUUCCCGAAGGGAGGUUGUGAUGAGGAGGGGUUUGGCUUCUUCUCCCAGGCAACAAAAAGGACCCGGGGAAAUGGCCAUAAGUAGUACCAGAGGAGGUUUAGGGUAGACAUAAGGAAAAACUUUUUCUCUCAGAGGGUGGUCAGGCACUAGAACAGCCUGCCCAGGGAGGUGAUGGAGUCGCCAUCCCUGGCAGUGUUCAAGAGGUGUCUGGAUAAGGAGCUAUGAGAUAUAGUUUAGCAGCUUGUGGUAGCAAUGGUAAUAGGAGGGCGGUUGGACUAGAUGAUCUUGAUGAUCUUUUAGGUCCUUUCCAACCUUGUGAUUCUAUGAUUCUAUUUCAAUUAGAAAUAGAAAAUUUCUCAAAACACUGUUGUAGUGUGAGUUAAAGUAGCAUAGAAUAUAUAUUUUAAACAACUUUAUAUUAAAAUGUUUAGAUUCUUCACCUCAACUUACAAAAAGCAUCUAUUAGACUUAUCUAGAAUUCUUAUUACUGUUUACAUGUUGUCAUGGUUUUAUGAUUUUUUGUUAUCAGUAUUCCAUAUCAUAACAUCAUGCAGUGUACUGGGAGUUAGAGAGCAAAUGCUCUAGUUCCGGGUACUUGUCCAGAAGGAAAGAAGAACUACAUUCCCCAGAAGACUGGUCGAGUACUGUUAUCAUUCCUGCUCAGGGGAACAGACAUAAGGCCUGUAGGUCACCUGAACUGAGUCUUCUGCCCUUUCUUCUCGUCUCGUCGUGCUCACUUUUGGAUCGUCUCGCUGCUGCUCCCUACUGCAUGCAAGGCUUCAGUAGUAGUGUAAGACCUUUAGCUCUCGGACAAUCCUUCUCUCAAUUAUAUUUGAUUUUAUUAACAACUAUAUUGAAUUAUAUUGUAUUAUAGUGUGUUAUUGUGCAUUUCAAUACUGUAUUUAGUGAAUUAGUUUGUUUCUUCUCAGAUCGUUGCCACUGUUUUUUUAAUUAUUCCUUCUUGUGGGGGGUCCCCUGUUUCUCUUUUCCGGAGGCGCAGAUUUUACAAAAAAAUCCCUCUGCCUCACUAGUCACGGAACCGGGCCAGACCAGCCCGUAAACUGUCGACACAUGUUUAAAUGUCUAGCUGCAUACCUCACCAAAUUAUUUUAGCUCUGCAAUGGAUUUACAUUAGGAAAAGUUCCCUGAUGUCCUUGUAGGAGGAAAAGAAAAACAAAAAAGGGCACACAAUUGCCCUAAACAUAGUUGCAACACUAUGUGGUACAAAUCUGUGAGCUUUAUGUAGGUGAGGGUUGCACCAAUAGUUGUGAGGAUAGUUUCUCUACUGCUUGAUACAGAAUGCAAAGUUAAAAAGUGCUGCUAUGCUGCUGGAUAAGCCUACCCAUCAAAAAAGUAACUGUCAGUAUAGCUUAUCCUGACAUUCUGAGAACAGAGAGAAACCAUGCAGGGCCCUGGAAUCUCCUACAUAAUCAACAGGAUCCCAAGGAAAACACUAGCAUAUGUUUCAGUGCAUUUACUUUCCACCGUAUGUGUACCUAAGUCAAAAAAGUAGGCUUUCGAAUACUUUGUAUUGAGUCUAGCAUUAGUACAAAUUACCAGCUAGAGCAGCAAUUAGUGCCAGGCGUAGCUGGAGCACUGUUUCUAACCUUUCCAUACAGCAUCAGUCAGUGUGUAAAGGAUUUGCAGGAGUACAGCUUUUGCUGUUGUCAAAAUACAGAUAUGCAUUGUUCAAUAAAUUAGCCUUUAUUGCUUCUUAUAUAAACUGAUAAUUUUUGAUAACUGAUUUGGAAAACACUGAUUGCUAGAGCUAUUGUAAUUUUACUUUUUUUAGUAUCAUAGAAGAAGUUAUCUAGCUAUUACUUUCUUGUUAAAUUAUCACCCAUUGUUAAAGUGCAGAAUACCGGGUAGGCUUCUUGUGCCUGCCAUUUUUAUUUAACAGAUAAUUCUUAUGAACACUGAAUUACUUCAUACAUACUGUACAUGAACUAUGAUUGUCAACGUGCCUUUCUUAAAGUCUGUUUAUUUUCCUAACUGCUAAUGUUGCAGCUGAUGUAAUGUGUAAUAUAUAACAUUUGAUGUUAAGAUUUUCUGAUUUCUUCAGCUUGUCACCAACUUCAAAAUGCUUCAUUUCUUUCGGGAUGAAAAAAUCUCCUUACUUUGUUGUAUAAACUCUGUGCAAUGUAAUCUUAGCAAGCUAGCACAUCUAUGAGAAUUUAACAAAUAAUUGAAGGAGUGAUACAGUAUUUUGUUCAACUCUUCAGACAGAAAAAAAUAUAAGAUAGGUCAAGUACUAGCAGUCCUAGUUGUAAUGUGAAGGAAAUGUUCAAACUUGGUAAGAAUUCAUUUUCAGUUACAUGAAGAAGUUGUGGUUUCUAGCCAUUUUCUAAGUAAACUAAACCCUGAAAAAGUUAUCAGAGAUAGCUGAGGCAUGGAACAGGCUUUGGUUAAUUUCAUGUCAGAAAUGCCAUCAGUAACCCAAUGGUGGAGAACAUUUACAAAAAUACGGAGAGGAUGUGAAAGGGCUGUAUGACCAGUGAGAGUAGUCUUAAUUCUCAAAUUGCCUGCUAUUUUUAUGUCUCAGUGCUUAAUUUCAAACUGUGAUUCUGCCUUUAUGUUCUAAGAGAUGAUAAACGCAUGCAUGUUUAUUCUUGUAAUACCUUGUAUUAAAGAUGUGUAAUUGUCAGAAAGAGAUGAAAGAUUAGAUGUUAUCAAAUCUUUGAAAGCUUUGUCUACAGUCUGGCAGACAAAGCUAUGCUUUUUUUGGUUCGUGCAUCAUUGAUUUUGCAACGAGAACUCAGUUUAUGCCAACGCUGGCAAACCAAAAUUGAAACCACCUUACUUUCCUAGAACUCUAUUAACUUUGAAGUGCUAGCAGGACUUGAAAUGAGUAACCAUUUAUUUUAGUUACUAAGGAAAUCAGCCAUGUCCCUGAAUGCACUCAGUUAGUAGCUCAGUUAAAUAAAAGUACAUUCCAUUUAAAGUAGAAUUGUGCUUUAAUGUUGAAUGAACGCUAAUCUGGGGUUGCAUGGGGCUCCUUCACUUUGUAUGAUACAGCAUUUGGCAGUGCACUGAUGGUUGCUUAACAUGGCAAUGUAUAAAAAGAAGUACCUUCGAGAUGUGUUUCCAAAGUUUUUCUUGCUGAAAUAUAUCUUUUCAUAGUUAAAUUAUCUUAUUUAAAAUAUCUGCUUUGCAGUCAUGGGAAACUCUAUAUUAAUAACUGUGUUUUUAAUCAAAUAUGUCUUGAACUAAUUUAGUUUCUCCAAUGUAUAUACUCUGUUGUUUUUUUUUUUUUGUAUUACAAGCAAAUAUUUGAGGAUGUCUGAAAUACAGUAUGUAAUGUUUAGUGAAGGCUAUGCAGAAAGAAAUAUUAAAUUUGAAAUAUGC